CUGCUAUCUUCGGCAGCACAUAUACUAAAAUUUGAAUGAUACAGAGAAGAUUAGCAUGGCCCCUGCGCAAUGAUGACAAUCAACUGAUGAGUGUGCUAAAGCAUUUAC